UGAGCCAAGUUUAGGGUUUUCUCAAAACCCAAGCAGUAUUGAACUGAAGAGUUUGAUCAUGGCUCAGAUUGAACGCUGGCGGCAGGCCUAACACAUGCAAGUCGAGCGGAUGAAGGGAGCUUGCUCCUGGAUUCAGCGGCGGACGGGUGAGUAAUGCCUAGGAAUCUGCCUGGUAGUGGGGGAUAACGUCCGGAAACGGGCGCUAAUACCGCAU
rnacentral:rRNA from 1 species